ACCUGAUGACCAGAAAGACUGUGGCUGUUGCAGGACGUCAAGCCAAGAAAGGGUGGCUGUCAGUCGGGCACAAAAUUCCGCAAUAUCACAGCCUUUUUAGCGGCCGUUGUUACAUUUAGCCAAUAAAAGGUGACUAUCUUCAGGGUACAGAGCUCUGCGAGA